AAGGCACUACCCUGUGAUUUCCUGGUUAGAAUACUUGGCUUUUGCCUUCUCCCAUCUGGAUGCACCAGAAGAGGGAACGGGACUGGGGACAACAAAGUAUUAACGAAGAUUUCAAAGCUGGGAGUUGUAAAGUGGGAAUUGCUAAUGAAGAAGGCUCUUGGCAUUUGGAUCCCCAUCUCCAGCUCUCCAAUAAGCCAGAGCAGGAGGGAACAAAGGGGCACCCGGAAGGGAGAAGAGGAGACUCGCAUAGACACUGCUCAGCAAUAGUGGGGAUCAAAAGAAGAAAAAGGUCGCUGCAGUGGAAGAAGAAAAAUCCAAGCUGUACUUUUUCCCCACCCCACGUGUGGGGGCGCUGCCCUCUCCCCAGCUGAGCCUGUGAAGGGGUGGCAGGACAAAAAGGGCAGCCACAAGGGUCUGCGAAGUCCACUCGAUGACCACGGAGGCCGCCUGAACAUGCUAAUGAGGGGAUGGCGGUGCUGCCAGCGAGUUGGGAGCCUCAGGCAGGUGGGCUCCUUGGUGGUGAUAGAUCCCAAUCUGAAUCAGGGCUCCCGCCUCACCUAGAAGCUCAGCCUUAGCCUGGCAAACCCCACCCCCAGCAAGUGUUGAGACAAAGGUGGGCAGAGCAGAGAAGGCAGAGGAAGGGAGGCUGCAAAUCCUGGGCAGCUUGGGGGCUGCAGGGGGUGCUGGGAAAGGGAGGGAGAAGCAGGAAAAGAGGAACGGGCCCAGUCCCUGAGGUUCAGCGGGCCUCUCCUGACAGACUGGAUGUUUCUCUCCCAGUGACCUCUGUUUAGCAGACAAUAACUCAGUGGAUUAAUGACCAAUCAGCGAAAGGCCUUCCGAAUUGC
ensembl:lncRNA HOXB-AS2 HOXB cluster antisense RNA 2